GUGAGGUUUGCAGUUUGCAUUGUAUUGUUUGUGUUAUAACGAGAUUGAAAGAUGUUCAAAAUUGAAAUCUUGUUCAGGAGAUAUGGAUAAUUUCAAGUGGCCAAGAGCUUUCAAUCUCCGAAAGUGAUCGGAUGGUUCAGAGCGUGAGAUGAUAACCUAGGGAAGUGAUUGAUGAGUCAAAUUUAGUAAGGCAGCUUAGCUACGGGGUUACAUGCAAGCAUAUCAAUAUUCUGUAACAAAUGGUGCAACAGGUCGUGAGCUGUGGGAGAAACUUGAAAAUUUGGCAGUGCACCGUUUUGGUGGACUAUCAAAGCUUGGUUUAUCAGCUUCAGCUUAUUUCUAGUAAAGAGGCACAAGGAUAUAAAGUCAAUGUAAUGAAGAUAUGCUCAUUGCAAUUGUUUGGUUAUAGGUCAGGUCAGCUGUCAGCAUUCAGAAACGAGUGCUGUAAGAAUCGAGGGUGUUCAAAUGUGAAUUUAUUUCACGUGGGAUGCGAAUGUAGCAUAUUAUUACUCUUCCUUGAUAAGCAUUAUAUUUGACCCUUGGCGCUUUGUAUCAUACUAUCAUGGGAUUCCAAACUGAUUAAUGGGGAUGAGAAUGAGAUUUCAGUACAAAUUAUGUAUUGAAUUCUCAUCUCCAUUCCCAUUCCCGUCGGCCAGUUGAAAUCUUAUGACUCCAACAGCAACAGACUCUGGACUCUGUAAUUGUGGAUUUCAUAGUUUAGUGUGUAAUAAUAACCACAGUAAAUAUUAAUUGUUGUGUUGAAUCUUUGAUGAGGUACUUAGUAAGUUACUAGUAUAUUUAACUUUUCUUUUUAAA